rnacentral:rRNA from 1 species
AUGAUGGCGGCGGUGGAGGGUGGCCGGAAGAGGAGGGCGCGCCGGGUUAGACGACGGGGUAGGCGUGAGCAGGGUUGCCGGGCCGCGGACCGAGCACCCCAGCGGCGUUUGGAGGCACCCAGGGCGCGCGCCCUUGGAGAGGGAACGGCGUGCCCCAUGGGGCGAAGUACCCCAUCCAGGGAGUGCUGCCCCCCGGGAUCAGAUGCUGCUGGUUGCGCCCGCCGUUGGGCCGCCGCGCCCAAGGCCGCGCCCAGCGCCGCGCCCGCGAGUGUUGUUGCCGGUGUGGGUGUGGCUGCCAGCGUCAGCGGGUGCUUUGUCGCGGUCACCGCGGUCACCACCGGAGGCAGGCCCGCCUCCGCCAGGGAAGCCGCCGCCGAGUCCGAUGGCGAGCGCGGUGGAGCUGUCGGUGCGAUCGCGCGCGUCCUGAGUGAUCUCCUCGAGCAGCAGCUGCGAGCGGGCCUGGUUGAAGGUGGGAAACGGAGUUUGCAUAGGCAGAACAGUGGCGAUCACCUGAUAGCGCCGAGAGAGCCCGCGGAGAAGCUGGAGGGUCAGGGUGCGGUCGGUGAUGGGCUCGUCGACGUCCGCGAGGGCGUCCGCCAGCGCCUUGAGACGCCCGCAGUACUCGGCGACGCGCAUGUCCCCCUGGGUGAGGGCGCGGAACUCGGUGCUGAGGUGCACGGCCUGGGCGGGCUGGUUGGCGAGGAAGAACUCCCGCAGCCUGUCCCAGGCGCGGAACGCCGUGUUGCUGCUGCCGCGGAUGACCUCGUACAGGGAGUCGGUGGUCGUGGCGUAGAGCAGCAACAGGAUGGUGAGGUCGGUGUGGCGCCAGACGGGCGUCUGGAGGGCGGGGUCGACGUAGUGGGCGACGUGAUCCUCGACGGCGUACAUGGAGAGAACGCAACGCCAAAGCUCGCGCCACUUGGAGUAGCUGCCGGACUGCACAUCGAGUUUGAAGGUGAUGAGGCUACCAAUGUUGUGGAGGUUGUGGAUGGAGGGGAUGGUGGUGGAAGAAGAGGGAGCCACAUCGGUGAUGGCAGGGGAGGAAGAAGAGGCAGCACAGUCAUGGCCGAAGGGGGGAUGGCGUCCGGAGCCGAGGCGACCGGAGCAACCAGCGGGGAGGACGUGGUUACCGGCGGAGGGGCAGGAGGGGUGUUGCCCGAGAGCUCGGCGGAGGAGGAGUCACCGGUGUCCAUGAGAAGAGAAGAGGCUCUGAUACCAAGCUGA